UACGUAGGGGGCAAGCGUUGUCCGGAAUCAUUGGGCGUAAAGAGCGUGUAGGCGGCCAGAUAAGUCCGCUGUGAAAUCUCGAGGCUCAACCCCGAGCGGUCGUGGGAAACUGGUUGGCUAGAGUGCGGGAGAGGAUGGUGGAAUACUUGGUGUAGAGGUGAAAUUCGUGAGAUAUUAGCUAGAACACCAGUGGCGAAGGCGGCCAACUGGUCCGGUACUGACGCUGAGGUGCGAAAGCGUGGGGAGCAAACAGGG
rnacentral:rRNA from 1 species